rnacentral:rRNA from 1 species
AUUGAACGCUGGCGGCAGGCUUGACACAUGCAAGUCGAGCGGAGAUGAGGUGCUUGCACCUUAUCUUAGCGGCGGACGGGUGAGUAAUGCUUAGGAAUCUGCCUAUUAGUGGGGGACAACAUUCUGAAAGGAAUGCUAAUACCGCAUACGUCCUACGGGAGAAAGCAGGGGAUCUUCGGACCUUGCGCUAAUAGAUGAGCCUAAGUCGGAUUAGCUAGUUGGUGGGGUAAAGGCCUACCAAGGCGACGAUCUGUAGCGGGUCUGAGAGGAUGAUCCGCCACACUGGGACUGAGACACGGCCCAGACUCCUACGGGAGGCAGCAGUGGGGAAUAUUGGGCAAUGGGGGAAACCCUGAUCCAGCCAUGCCGCGUGUGUGAAGAAGGCCUUAUGGUUGUAAAGCACUUUAAGCGAGGAGGAGGCUACUGAGACUAAUACUCUUGGAUAGUGGACGUUACUCGCAGAAUAAGCACCGGCUAACUCUGUACCAGCCGCCGCCGUAAGAC